rnacentral:lncRNA from 1 species
CACCUCUUAGGCUGAGUGAUGAGCAGCAGGUCGCUAAAGAGCAGCAGGCAAAGAGGGGUGAAGCGGGGGCGCGAGGCAAAGAGCACGCCCCCCCUCCGGCACCCUAACUCAGUCAGCUCUCCCUGGAAUUCCAGGCGCCGUGACCAGGAGACCAGGGGCAGGGCCUGCGAGGAAGCGGAGGCAGAGGAGGUUCUAGCGUGGCAGCAGCAACAUGGGGCAGGGCAAGAUGGGGAGCCUGGGCAGCGAUGUACCUUGACUUUGUGGAAGCGCAGCCUUUGGGUGAGCCGGAUCAGCUCUUCAGUCUGCUUCAUGCGCCCCACCUCAGCGCUGCAACGCUCGAUGAUCUAGACCAGAGAUUUCUGAGUCUCCUUGUCAGCCGUCUCACGUAGCAACCAUUGUCUGGAACGCCCUAUUUGUGUGUCAAGGAAGCUCAACGUGAUGGACUGCAAACUCUCACACCUCCCACCAGCACCUGCAGCCCCUUAUCUCCCCUGCUGUGGUCAUCAGCACCACCACACCCCCAUUCGCCCAAGCUAA